rnacentral:rRNA from 1 species
GAUGAACGCUAGCGGCAGGCCUUAUACAUGCAAGUCGAACGAGAUUAAGGAGCUUGCUCCUUAUGAAAGUGGCGCACGGGUGCGUAACGCGUAUGCAACCUACCUUAAUCAGGGGGAUAGCCCGAAGAAAUUCGGAUUAACACCGCAUAAAAACACAGGAUAGCAUUAUCCAAUGUUCAAAUAUUUAUAGGAUUAAGAUGGGCAUGCGUGUCAUUAGCUAGUUGGCGGGGUAACGGCCCACCAAGGCGACGAUGACUAGGGGAUCUGAGAGGAUGACCCCCCACACUGGUACUGAGACACGGACCAGACUCCUACGGGAGGCAGCAGUAAGGAAUAUUGGUCAAUGGAGGCAACUCUGAACCAGCCAUGCCGCGUGCAGGAAGACUGCCCUAUGGGUUGUAAACUGCUUUUAUCCGGCAAUAAACCUAAUUACGCGUAAUUAGCUGAAUGUACCGGAAGAAUAAGGAUCGGCUAACUCCGUGCCAGCAGCCGCCGCGGUAA